rnacentral:lncRNA from 1 species
CUGGGAAAUGUAGUAAAGAAGUGAUGAUCCAGGCAGGAAAUGACAUAGCAGGGAGACUCAUACAUAAACAAGGGAAGAAGGAAGUGGGCCCCUUCUCUCUUCCUCCAGAGUCACCAUGUGAUCCCGGGAUGAGGACGCCAAUGGCAGGUGUCUGAUAAGGAUUUUCCUCAGAACUCACAGCAAAAUUUAGUGAGAACAUGCAGCCAUGAGCUCUAAAUGAUGCGUGCGGUGUGCCAUUCGUCUCCCAGUGCGAGCAUCACAUACAUCUGAGGACUGCAGCUCAGAGCGGGAAAGCCUACGCUUCCUAGAACAUCACCUUCAUCUCUGCUGUAAUGCCCCCGAUGAAUAAUGUAAAAGAAAAUCAGAUGCCAAGCUUGGAGACACAGCUUUCCUGUUUUCUAAGAAGAGCAAAGAUUAAAACGAAGCUGUCUUGGGAUCAUUCCGAAGCUCCAGAAAACAAAGGAAGGCUGCCUUGGAGCCAGCUUCCCAUGAAGGCCCCUUCCAGGGUUACAUGGGCCUCCUCUAAAGAUGUAUAG